GACGAACGCUGGCGGCGUGCCUAAUACAUGCAAGUUGAGCGAUGAAGAUUGGUGCUUGCACCAAUUUGAAGAGCAGCGAACGGGUGAGUAACGCGUGGGGAAUCUGCCUUUGAGCGGGGGACAACAUUUGGAAACGAAUGCUAAUACCGCAUAAUAACUUUAAACAUAAGUUUUAAGUUUGAAAGAUGCAAUUGCAUCACUCAAAGAUGAUCCCGCGUUGUAUUAGCUAGUUGGUGAGGUAAAGGCUCACCAAGGCGAUGAUACAUAGCCGACCUGAGAGGGUGAUCGGCCACAUUGGGACGGAGACACGGCCCAAACUCCUACGGGAGGCAGCAGUAGGGAAUCUUCGGCAAUGGACGAAAGUCUGACCGAGCAACGCCGCGUGAGUGAAGAAGGGUUUCGGAUCGUAAAACUCUGUUGGUAGAGAAGAACGUUGGUGAGAGUGGAAAGCUCAUCAAGUGACGGUAACUACCCAGAAAGGGACGGCUAACUACGUG
rnacentral:rRNA from 1 species